rnacentral:misc_RNA from 1 species
GAUGAAGAACGUAGCGAAAUGCGAUAAGUAAUGUGAAUUGCAGAAUUCAGUGAAUCAUCGAAUCUUUGAACGCACAUUGCGCCCGCCAGUAUUCUGGCGGGCAUGCCUGUUCGAGCGUCAUUUCCACCAUCAGGCCCCCGGGCCUGUGUUGGGGACCUGCGGCUGCCCGCAGGCCCCGAAAUUCAGUGGCGGUCGCGCCGUAGCAACCGAGCGUAGUAACUAAAACGUCUCGCUCUGGCUCGCUGGGCGCGCUCCGGCCGUAAAACACCCCCCCUUUUCGCAAAGGUUGACCUCGUAUCAGGUAGGAAUACCCGCUGAACUUAAGCAUAUCAAUAAGCGGAGGA